CUCACCUUCAAGCCUCAGGACGGCCCAUGAGCAGCGAGGGAAAGUCACAGAAAAAUAUGCCUUGGACUUUGGAGAGACCCGGAGAAAUAAGGCAAAGAGAGGGAUCCUCUGAUUCAUGCGCUCAACUGUGUCUUCCUCUCUGGCUGCUGGAAAGAGCAGACACACAUUUAAUCUCGUCUGUAUCAGGUGUAAGGUCCUCACAGGCUGCAUCUUGGAUGCUGGCUUCACUCCUGGAUCAUGUUUGUUUGUUUGUUUGUUUUUUUAAUCAUCACUAUUGUUGCUCCUGGGACAUUAUUAUUAUUUUUUCCCUCUCAUAUCCAGUUUUGUUUUAAUCUAACCUAGUGUUUACUUUUACAAACUGCAUUUUUUUUUUUUUAAUGGAAAGGAGUUGGGAGGAGAGGCCAGGAAGUAUCGGAGUCUGACUCCUGAUGGGGCUGCCGACAGGAAAGGUCACGG
ensembl:lncRNA